rnacentral:rRNA from 1 species
CAAUGCGCGACGAGCGGUCGCCAUGGUAGGCCAUUUCUGACGAGCUAGGCGUUGGACGUAGGUUUAUGCCCAGCGUCAGGUGAGAAGCUUCUCCACUUAGUUGGAAGCACGGUGGGGCCGCAUACGCCGUUCGGGCUAAAGAGGGGGUCCUUUUGGGUUCUGGGAUUGGUGAGCCUACCGUGCGUUAGCCGCUUGGUGAGGUAGUGCCUCACCAAGGCGACAAUCCCUAGCUGUUCUGAGAGGAUGAUAGCCCACACUGGGACUGACCACGGCCCACUCUCUACGGGAGGCAGCAGUGGGGAAUAUUGCACAAUGGGGGAAACCCUGAUGCAGCCAUGCCGCGUGUGUGAAGAAGGCCUUCGGGUUGUAAAGCACUUUCAGUAGGGAGGAAAGGGUGAGUCUUAAUACGGCUCAUCUGUGACGUUACCUACAGAAGAAGGACCGGCUAACUCCGUGCCAGCAGCCGCGGUAAUACGGAGGGUCCGAGCGUUAAUCGGAAUUACUGGGCGUAAAGCGUGCGCAGGCGGUUUGUUAAGCGAGAUGUGAAAGCCCUGGGCUCAACCUAGGAAUAGCAUUUCGAACUGGCGAACUAGAGUCUUGUAGAGGGGGGUAGAAUUCCAGGUGUAGCGGUGAAAUGCGUAGAGAUCUGGAGGAAUACCGGUGGCGAAGGCGGCCCCCUGGACAAAGACUGACGCUCAUGCACGAAAGCGUGGGGAGCAAACAGGAUUAGAUACCCUGGUAGUCCACGCCGUAAACGAUGUCUACUCGGAGUUUGGUGUCUUGAACACUGGGCUCUCAAGCUAACGCAUUAAGUAGACCGCCUGGGGAGUACGGCCGCAAGGUUAAAACUCAAAUGAAUUGACGGGGGCCCGCACAAGCGGUGGAGCAUGUGGUUUAAUUCGAUGCAACGCGAAGAACCUUACCUACUCUUGACAUCCACGGAAGAGACCAGAGAUGGACUUGUGCCUUCGGGAACCGUGAGACAGGUGCUGCAUGGCUGUCGUCAGCUCGUGUUGUGAAAUGUUGGGUUAAGUCCCGCAACGAGCGCAACCCCUAUCCUUAUUUGCCAGCACGUAAUGGUGGGAACUCUAGGGAGACUGCCGGUGAUAAACCGGAGGAAGGUGGGGACGACGUCAAGUCAUCAUGGCCCUUACGAGUAGGGCUACACACGUGCUACAAUGGCGAGUACAGAGGGUUGCAAAGCCGCGAGGUGGAGCUAAUCUCACAAAGCUCGUCGUAGUCCGGAUUGGAGUCUGCAACUCGACUCCAUGAAGUCGGAAUCGCUAGUAAUCGUGGAUCAGAAUGCCACGGUGAAUACGUUCCCGGGCCUUGUACACACCGCCCGUCACACCAUGGGAGUGGGCUGCAAAAGAAGUGGGUAGCUUAACCUUCGGGGGGGCGCUCACCAC